GAGUCAGCAACAACCCGACAAAUCAAUCUGUUGCUUUAACUUUGAUCGUUUUUCUGUUUGGCAAAGCAAGGCCGUUGUUCCUAAUCAAAGCUUUACCCUAAUCUAUAAAUCAUUUUCCAACUGUUUGGGCUUUUUUUUUUUAGAAAUGAAGCAACGGGCUAACAAACAUAGCAAGGUGUGCGUAAAGUUGCUUGUAUCUUUUCUAACCAAACCUGUGUGUUUUUAAGCUAAAGUUUAGACACUCAAUAAGAUCCAGCUUAUAGGUUCAUCGAACGCCUUGAGUAGAAAAGAUUUACUUUAUGUUUUCAUGCCGUGUGAGGAAGAACAAAACAAAUGUCURAAUUCUGUGUGCAGAUGUUUUGUCRAAUGAUUUUAAAGGAUGUUUUUGUCAAAACAUUCACCAAAUAGCUGGAAGAUGAUAAAAGUUACAGCAAUAAGAAAAUGGAACUCCAUGAUGCUUAACUUCCUGACAUGUCGCUGAAGCUCCAAACUUUAUUCUGAGCAAUCUCAAUUUCAAGCACAGAAAUGGGCUUUUAUUUUGUAAGGACUUUUAUCCAAUCCUGGCCUUGACUCACUGAUUUGAGAUCAGCCGUUUUGUUGUUCUGUCUAAAUCGAGGAGGAGAGGGUCAACCCCAAACUGAUCCAAGGCCAGCUGCCACAGGCACGAACCUCUCUGCUGUCCUCAGAAAGGACCCUUUGUGCCUGGCUCUGGGGGUGCCUCCACACUCAGGUUUUAACUUUCACUGACUCCAUCUUCAGCCAAUAGGACCUUCACCUGUCUGUGGCCAGGAAGAGGGGGAAAACUACACACGAAACAACCCAGUUUCUGAGGCGAAAAAAAAGGCUCGCUUGGGUUUGAGAUUGCUCAGAGUGGCCUGCAGCAGCUGCUAAACUCCAUCCUGGGACGUUUCACAAAGUGAGGAAGACUAAAAAGAUGCAUCUUGACAAGCUUACAAKCUGCUUGCUGCCUAACAAGUUCCAGCACAGCUUCGACAAGAGCCGGAGGCCACGUCUACAAACCCCUGAAUAAUCACUGCAACCUCUCUGAGACCGUGUUCACCAGGACCUCAGAGCUGCAGCAUUCCAAAUAUUAAAGCUCCGCAGCUGCUAACAGGUCUGAACAGCACUUUUAUGCCCCGGAGGAAUAGUUUCCCCGCCACUCCAAACAAGAWGAGAAGUCGCUCCUUUCUAAAGACAKCUGGUCCUAAUAUCAAACUGUUUGCAGUUUUGUUCCCAAAACUGGUUGUUUGUGUCAGAACUUGUCUCUUUAAGUUGCAGGUGGACCUCAGCUCCCCCUCUGGAGGACUGUGGACCAGCUGGACACCAAGCUGAGACCUCUCCAUGAACUCUGAAAGGUUGUGUCCAAGUCUGUCCACAAGGGGGCACACUUGGGGGCAUUCAAAUUCACGUGAGGGGGAGACAUUGCAGCUCCACUCGUCAGACCCUUCAACAUCUGGAUGGAACAAUGUGUACAACGCCCCACUAAGUUUUUCUUUCUUUUUAACCCUAUUACUAAAAGAAAAGUCAAAUAUAGUCUGUUUUAAUAGCUCAACAUGCAUUUUAAGUUGUGAAGAAAUACUUUAGGCCUACAUCAAACUGUUUUUCUCUAAGGAAAACCCUUUUUAUUUCCCUAUAAUUAUUUUAUCCUUGGGAGGAAAAACAAGAAAAAAGAAAAAAAAA